GUUGAUCGUUAUAGAUAUCAAGUUCUACGCAAUUUUCGUAUCUGGCCUAUUUGAGAUAUCACGCAUCUGAAAUUAGAAAGAUGUUCAAUGGCAUAGUUAUAAUUUCAAAGGAAAUAAGUGGAUCAAAGGAGAUUAAUUUUAUGAAAGUCGCCGCGGUACGUUUUAAGAUCGUUUCUCAAGGAUUUUUUAAGAAACGAGGGCAAACCAACAUUGAUUCAAAAGUGGAUAACAAGAGAUAAAUCUUGCGCUCCCAACAAAGUCGAAGAGAAAAGUUUCAGCUGGACAACUGCCAGAAGAGCGCUUGUAAUUCAAUUUUCAUUCAUCUCGACUUUUUUACCGUACGAGGAAAAAGCUUUUUCUCCUGCGAGAAACGUUAGCCUUGGCCUGCCUUAUCAUCCGUUUCCUACGCGGCCUCCAAGAUGGAGCAAGCACCGCUUACGUCGAAUUAGACGAUAAUAUUUUCAUUUUUUACAAAUAUUUCAAUAUAUUUAAGACAUUCUUUUUUUUUAAUAAAUAAAUAUGUAUAAAAAUAUUUUCUGAAAUAAACAAUUUAAAUAUA